AGUUCAUCUCUUAAAACCUUUGAUCCAGGAGAUCCUCUCGAUUGCGAAUCUUGAAGAUCUUCUGGCAGAACGGAGGGAGGGACCCUCCGGGGGUGGAAUCAUGAUCAGACAGAGGGUUUUCCGUCCUCUGCUUCUCCUUUUCGGGGGAUACAGGGCAACUGACCCAAGUGGGCCGUCCGAUCGUCGGAUUCUGGAACUCCGACGAUGCUCUUUCCAUCCGCACAGAUGCCUGCGGCUGCUGCUGCUGCAUGACCUGCA
rnacentral:lncRNA from 1 species